GUCCGUCGCCGUCUUCCGGUCUCUGCUCCGGGUGGUGCCUGCUCCGCUUCAGCCGGGUGCCGUCCCCUAGAAGGCGUGGCUCGUGGCUGUGCCGGGGACCCGGCAAGGGCCUGGCGGCGGUCGUCACGUGUGACAGGGACCGCCUCCUCGUCCACCUGCACCGGUCCUUCUGGCUGUGCUAUGUGGGACACCGCCUCAGCAUGGCUUGAUGAAUGGUGCCAUGUCCGCGCCCAGGAUCCAAACUGGUGAAACCCUGGGCUGCUGAAGUGGAGCAUGCGAACUUAACCACUCGGCCACGGGGCUGGCCCCACAAAUGACUCUUAAAACAUCACUCUUAAUAAUUUAUUCUCAAAUUAAAUCUCUCCUGAGUAUCUUUCCCACACACCCCUCUGGAAGUGGGAGCCUCUUCAAGUUCACCCUGAGUCUUUUUGACACGAGCCUUGUGAUCAUCGACAGCUUCUUCAGUUUCUGAUGUCACAAGAUGUCCCCGGCUCAUCUCCCAUAAUCCCUGGAUCCUGAGACCUGGCAUGGGCAUACUUCUCUCAAGGAGCUCCAGCCCAUCUUGGUGGGAAAUGGUGUUUAGAGCACAGAACUGGGGCUCUAGGAGAGCUUGUUGCUACUGGGUUGCUCUUUCCUUCUAGGUCUUCUCAGAGGACAAAGCUAGGAAACAUUUUUUUUUUUAACGUAACAAAAUUAUGAGUUCACACUGAUAUUUCAAAUACAAAUUUAGGGCUAGGUGGUUAUUAACUUGUUUGAUUUUAUAUUUGUAUCUCUUUCUCAUAUACAGGCAUACCUCUCUCAGUUUAUUGUGCUUUGCUUUAUUGCACUUUGCAGAUAUUUUGUUUUUUAAAAAUUUAAGGUUUGUGGCAACCCUGC